CGAGUGCGUUCAGAGUUUGAUCCUGGCUCAGGACGAACGCUGGCGGCGUGCUUAACACAUGCAAGUCGAGCGAUGAAGUUCCUUCGGGAACGGAUUAGCGGCGGACGGGUGAGUAACACGUGGGCAACCUGCCUGUAAGUGGGGGAUAGCCCUCCGAAAGGAGGAGUAAUACCGCAUAAGAUAUUUUGAUCGCAUGGUCGAAAUAUUAAAGGAGUAAUCCGCUUACAGAUGGGCCCGCGGCGCAUUAGCUAGUUGGUGAGGUAACGGCUCACCAAGGCAACGAUGCGUAGCCGACCUGAGAGGGUGAUCGGCCACAUUGGGACUGAGACACGGCCCAG
rnacentral:rRNA from 1 species